UAUGAAGGGGGCUAGCGUUGUUCGGAAUUACUGGGCGUAAAGGGCGCGUAGGCGGCGUGUCAAGUCAGGCGUGAAAGCCCCGGGCUCAACCUGGGAACCGCGCUUGAGACUGGCAUGCUCGAGUUCGGGAGAGGAUGGUGGAAUUCCCAGUGUAGAGGUGAAAUUCGUAGAUAUUGGGAAGAACACCGAUGGCGAAGGCAGCCAUCUGGACCGACACUGACGCUGAGGCGCGAAAGCGUGGGGAGCAAACAGG
rnacentral:rRNA from 1 species